CCUACGGGAGGCAGCAGUGAGGAAUAUUGGUCAAUGGGCGAGAGCCUGAACCAGCCAAGUCGCGUGAAGGAUGACGGCCCUACGGGUUGUAAACUUCUUUUGUCAGGGAGCAAUUGAGUCCACGUGUGGGCUUAGCGAGAGUACCUGAAGAAAAAGCAUCGGCUAACUCCGUGCCAGCAGCCGCGGUAAUACGGAGGAUGCGAGCGUUAUCCGGAUUUAUUGGGUUAAAAGGGUGCGUAGGCGGAAUAUCAAGUCAGCGGUAAAAAUUCGGGGCUCAACCCCGUCGUGCCGUUGAAACUGAUGUUCUAGAGUGGGCGAGAAGUAUGCGGAAUGCGAGGUGUAGCGGUGAAAUGCAUAGAUAUCACGCAGAACACCGAUUGCGAAGGCAGCAUACCGGCGCCCAACUGACGCUGAAGCACGAAAGUGUGGGGAGCGAACAGGAUUAGAUACCCGUGUAGUC
rnacentral:rRNA from 1 species